rnacentral:rRNA from 1 species
ACCUUACCAGGGCUUGACAUGUCACAAAUCNNCCUGAAAGGGAAGAGUGCCUUCGGGAAUGUGAACACAGGUGGUGCAUGGCUGUCGUCAGCUCGUGCCGUGAGAUGUUGGGUUAAGUCCCGCAACGAGCGUAACCCUUGUCUUUAGUUGCCAUCAUUUAGUUGGGCACUUUAAAGAGACUGCCGGUGAUAAACCGGAGGAAGGUGAGGACGACGUCAAGUCAGCAUGCCCCUUACGCCCUGGGCUACACACGUACUACAAUGGCCGAGACAAAGAGUCGCAAGUUUGCAAAGACAAGCUAAUCUCAUAAACUCGGUCUCAGUUCGGAUUGUAGGCUGCAACUCGCCUACAUGAAGUUGGAAUCGCUAGUAAUCGCCGGUCAGCUAUACGGCGGUGAAUCCGUUCCCGGGCCUUGUACACACCGCCCGUCACACCAUGGAAGCUGUUCAUGCCCAAAGUCGUUACCUUAACCGCAAGGA